UUUUUUUUUAAGAUGGAGUCUUUCUCUGUUGCCCAGGCUGGAGUGCACAGGACAGACCCCUGCAACAAAGAAUUCUGCCGCCCAAAAUAUCAAUAGUGCAAUCUCCGCUCACUGCAACCUCUGCCUCCUGGGUUCAAGUGAUUCUCCUGCCUCAACCUCCCCAGUAGCUGGGAUUACAGGCACCUGAGACGUCACCAUCUCAAAUAUGGUUGUUCAGCCUCAAAGCUGAGCAAACACAGUCUUUAGUGCCGGGCUAAUUUUUGUGUUUUUAGUAGAGACGGGGUUUCACCAUGUUGGCCUGGCUGGUCUCGAACUCUGACCUCAAGUGAUCUGCCUGCUUUGGCCUCCCAAAGCACUAGGAUUACAUGUGUGAGCCAACAUGCCCGGCCCCCAACCUUAAUUAGAAAGUAGAAGUAAAGUGAAAUGAACGUAGUUUCUAUCUUAUUUGUCAUGUGUAAACCAAGGUUUUUCCUGGGAGCAGAGGAGUGCAUGAAUUCAGAGUUACUGUGGAAGAGGUGGCCAUCUCCUUUCCAUACUAUAUAGUUGUCACUGGGGAGGAGCUGCCCAGCCAGGGAAUCCAUUUCUUCGUCCCUUUCUUACAUUGAGCAGAGACACAACAAUUCCUCACCAGGGGAAUGUGAGUGAAAGUGCAGUGUACCUCUUCCAGGCCAACACUCUUCUAUAUCCCUUUCGUCUUUCACCAACCUUAGGGAGUGAAACUUCCGUGCAUGGCAGAGCCUCAUGACAGAAGGAGCCUGGCUCCUUGAAAGACCGGGUGGAGAGAGCUGCUCACAGGUUGGAGCACUGCCCAAGAUGUUACAUGAGCAAGAAAUAAACUUCCGUGGUGUUUAGUCACUGCAUUUGGGUCUAUUUGUUACUGCACCUUAGCCUAUGCUAACAAUUAUAGAGUCUGCCUUUGCUAACUCACACCUAAAAGGUCAGAUGUCUAUUUUGUUGCCAACACUAAAGACUGUGCUUGCUCAGCUUUGAGGCUGAACAACCAUAUUUGAGAUGGUGAUGUCUCAAGUGAUGUGUGUGUAUGUGGAGCAGGGGGAGUGUGAGGUGCUGGCUUGAUCCGCAUUCCCGUGGCUUGCAGUAAGAUUCCCAGAUGGCAGCUGCCCUCUGCACUUUUACCCUUCCUUUCCACUCACCACCCAUCACUUCCCCCACUGUUCCCUUCAUCCCCCUGUGUCCCAUCGAUGAGGAAGCCUCCCCAUGAAAAGCUGGAGGAGCUCUGCCUUGGGGUUUCUGCUAAGUCACCAGGUUGAGAACUUGCCGCAACUCCUUGGACAGUACGAAUGCCCAUUGCUUCUCUUUUGGUGGUCUGGGGCUUAACACUCCAGGCUAUCACUGCAUCAUCUGGUCCAAUUGACUGCAUCUAAAUAGUAGAAUUCUUUCUGUGCUCCUGAAAACAAGAGGGCUGCUUGGCGUGUGUGUGUGUGUGUGUAUGCGUGCACACACGUGUGCAUGCUGUAGGCCUGAUAUUAGAUACAGACAAGUAAAAUGUUAUGCUUUUUUUUUUUUUUUUUUUUUUUUUUAGAUAGAGUUUCACUCUUGUCUCCCAGGCUGGAGUGCAAUGGCGUAAUCUUGGCUCACUGCAACCUCUGCCUGCUGGGUUCAAAUGAUUCUCCUGCCUCAGCCUCCCAAGUAGCUGGAAUUACAGGUACGUGCUACAACAUCUGACUAAUUUUUGUAUUUUUAGUAGAGAUGGGGUUUCACCAUGUCAGCCAGGCUGGUCUCGAACUCCUGACCUCAGGUGAUCUGCCAGCCUCAGCCUCCCAAAGUGUUGGAAUUACAGGCGUGAGCCACUGAAUCCGGCCAAUGUUAUGCAUUUAAGUGUGGGGAGCAGAAGACUGGAUAUGCAAGAGCAUACAUCUGGAUACCUUUUACCUCUUGGCUUGUGGGGAAAAUGACCUGCAGGAUUUUACAUGGAGCUUCCUGUGUGCAUGCUGGUGACUGUUGGCAACAAGGUGUCAGGAAGAAAGACAUUGCUUUCCAAACUCCUUUUCCCAAAUGAUCCUUUCUUACCCAGUCUGCCUUACCUGCUUCUGUACUGUUCAACAGAGGAGGGGGAACAGGGAAAAGCAGGGGCAGUUGUGAAAAAUAGAAGGGAAACUUGAGUGUGCCUUUUUCUUCUCCUUCUCUUUCUCCACCCUCAGUCAUCAUUAACAGAAAAAUAUUUUUAAAAGAUCCCUUGAUGGCAUCCCCAAAUGUUAAGUCUGACAUUUUCUUAGCUGAUGGCCUCCUUUGUGAAGGUACUUUGUGUCCGCCCAGCAUGCCUGCUGGAUCCCUGGUUUGCCGCAGUUGCUGAGGUAAAUACUCUUUCCAUUAAGCACCACAGCCCAAGAGUGGCCUAAAGCUCAAAUAAAUGACCAAGAAGCAACUUAAACAUUCCCUGGGGCGAUUUUAACCUAUGCAAUGGCUUUUUGAAAAAAUUGCCUAUUUUUUCAUGUUUUGGCCGGGGGGGUGUCUCUUAUUCCCUUCUUUUUUAUUUUCCUUUCAGCUGAGUACACCUUCUCUUUCAUUUAUUCAUGCACUGCAUGAAGGAUGGAAGCAGGAUGAAUAAAUCACAGAGCAUUGCCCCUCUCCCCACUCAGGGUCUGUGAAGAGAGCUGGAGCAGAAUACAGUCCAGGCAUUAUGUCAACUUUCAGGGGACCUGGGGCAGGUGGCCGAUUCUCACAGAGACCCCACUUCCCUUUCCUGUGAAAAAUACCACAGCCCAACAGCCACUGGAGAACAGUGUUCUUCUGGAAGCUUCCUCUGGGCAGGAGGAGUCAAAGAUCCUGGUCCUCAGGGACACUUGAGAUGGGUGUGCCCAAAGCUGUGCAGGAUGGUUUGGUUUGUUUUGUUUUUCUUUGCCUCAGGAAGAAUGUGUUCACAAACCUCAGGACAAAUCGUUUAAAAAAGUGUCCUGACAGUUGUCAUGCUUCAUCACUUGAUUUAGAGGCAAUAGGACAGCCUUAUUUUCUUCUAAUCUCUGGUGGUUGAGGAGUCUGGUUGGCCUGGCAGAAGGCUGAGAUUGGCUGAGGGAGUCAUGAGCGAGCAGGGGCCUCUGGUGCCUGAAGCGCCCCUCAGGAAGAGCGGGUCUCACCGGAAGGCCACACUCAUCUCCUUCCUGGUUACCCAGUGUGGGGAUUUGCUACUUUGCUGAGUGUGUUUUGUCUACAUUCAUGGUGCUCCAGAACUGUGUCUGUGUUUCUCACAUUCUCUUUCGUGUCUGCCAGAGCAACAUUCUCAGCAAACCAUCUGAAUGCAACUCCUGUGAUCACAAAAGUCAAUCACUGAUGGAAAUGAAGACCACGACCCUGAUUCCUCAGGUGCCGGAUUGAUGGAACCUCAAAUGUGUAAAGUCUUGCACAGGAAACCCCCCAGCAUGGCCAUUCAGAGGCUCUCAACUCCUGCUGGACCCAAACACAAGAAACCAGGAGGCCCAGACCCCGUCUCUCAUUUUGCACCUCAGCACAGGUUUUCAUCUGUCACUAUGUGCUAAAAGCAAACCAGCAAGUGAGGGUGUCACUGUCAACUGCUCCUUGUCGUGAGAUUCCCACCUUUCCCUCAAGACAUCUCAGAUAUCAUAUGUAACCUUGACCCUGUGUCCCACAGCAACAGCGGUCAUUGAGUGUAAAGCCUUUUCCUUGAGGAUUGUGGUAGACAGAAUGCCCCCCAAAGGUGACUAUGCUUGAAUCCAUGGAAACUGAACAUGUCACCUUCUAUGGCAAAAGGGACUUUGCAGACGUGAUUAAGGUUAAAGACCUUAAAUUAGAGGGAGUACCCUGGACUAUCCAGGUGUCUAAUCUAAUCCCAUGAGACUUCAAAUGCAGAGAGCUUUCUCUGGCUGGAGUCAAAGAGAUGUGACAAAAGAGGUCGUCGGAGAGAUUGGAAGUGUGAGAAAGACCCGACCUACUGUUUCUGGGGAGCCCACCUGGAAAGCACGAGAAGGGACACAGGCAACCUUUGGGAACAAAGACUGCCAGCCACAAGGAAAAGACAGCAGUCCUCUAGCCACAAGAAACCGAAUUCAGCCAGCAACCUGGACAAGCUAGAAGAGCAUUCUUCCCCAGAACCUUUAGGAGGAAGUGAGGCCUUGCAGAUACCCUGAUUUUGGCUUUUGAGACACUAAACAGAGGAUCCAACUGAGUUCAACUGGCCCAGAAACUGAGAUAUGUUUGGACUGUUUUAAGUUGCUACGUUUGUGGUAAUUUAUUUUGGUGGCAACUGAAAAUGAAUGUAAUUGUAUAUUAGAAAAAUUGAAGGUAGAAGCUCUAAUACUUUCUCCCCACACCCCAGUGGUUCAUCAUGUGCAGCACUCAGGGUGUGGAAAUUCCAUUUUGAAGACACCGUCUUCCAGGAUUCUAACCCCCACCUGGGAAAGGUCCUGGAGAGAACUUCUAGCAUGUAUUUCUGAGCCAUUCACAUUUAACCCAGAGAGAGAAGGUGUCCUGCCCAAACGCAAAGCAGCAUGGCGGUAGUUCUGGACAUAACCUUAACAAUUGCCAGGAACUCUCUGGAUGUCCAUCCAUCAGCCCUAUCUAGUCUUUUUGUCUGCAUGGCAUUGUGGGGGAUGUGGCGAUGAGGGCCAGGAUCGCAGAAGUCAGAGUACCCGUGGCUGGAGCUUCCAUUUUAAAUGAAGUGUUCUUGCUUAUGGCUUGAUGGUAUCCUUUCAGAUUUUGCAUCUGGCUGUACUCCAGAUGUUUAUAUAGAAACUUCACAGUAGACAUGAUGGUGGCGUAGGUUUGCAGGAAGGAUCCUUUCCUACUUACAGAGUGACCCAAUGUGGCCGAUCCCUUCAAUAUUUACAACAGCUGGGUGAGUGGAGGCAUGAUCAACUCCAUUUACCCGUCAAAUAAAUGAAAUUUCAGAGCGGUUACACAAUCUGCUUGAGGUAACAAGGCCAGCAAGCCACAGAGCCAACAUACCCCUGGUGCCUGGCUCCACAGGAGUCUGGGAAGAGGGAGAGGAAGAUGGGGACAGGAUGUAUCACCAGGAUGCUAGGGGAAGAGAGAAUAUUGACGUGUGGGGCAGCCUGCAUCCCCAAAUCAGGAGCACUGGGUGCUGCUGUGUUACAGUGAGUGUAGGAGCAUGCCGUUCUGGGCUUCACUCUGCCCAAAUAUGUCUUGCUCAUUUUCACCGCCAUAUGGCUGCUCGUCCCGGUCUGUUUGAGGUUCCUUCCUGUUCCCUCUCUGCCUCUAAGUCCUUCAAAAAGCCAACUGGAAGUGCCUCUUCCAGGCUUUCCUUAGCCUUUCUUUAUUCCCUUGAACUUCUAUUAUGUUAAUUGUUCAAAAGAUUAGUUCUGACACUUACCCUAUGCUGCUUUGUAUUACUAUUGGAAAACAACAGUAGCUCUCUCAACCCAUUGGGUGGAUGGUACAUGCCAUGCUUUAUACAUUCCCGUGGCCCUGCUGUACCUGGCACACACAAAAGGGGAUUAAUAAAUAUGCAUAUGUUGAAUGAAAGAAUGGAG
rnacentral:lncRNA from 10 species